rnacentral:rRNA from 1 species
AUUGAACGCUGGCGGCAGGCCUAACACAUGCAAGUCGAGCGGAGCGGCGGACGCGGGAGUAAUGCCUAGGAAUCUGCCUGGAAGUGGGGGAUAACGUCCGGUACCGGGCGCUAAAACUGCAUACUAACGCAUGAGCAUAGGUCGGAUUAGCUAGUUGGUGUGGUAAAGGCCUACAAAGGCGACGAUCCGGAACUGGUCUGAGAGGAUGAUCAGUCACACUGGAACUGAGACACGGCCCAGACUCCUACGGGAGGCAGCAGUGGGGAAUAUUGGGCAAUGGGCGAAAGCCUGAUCCAGCCAUGCCGCGUGGGUGAAGAAGGUCUUCGGAUUGUAAAGUACGUUAAGUAGGGAGGCGUUACCAACAGAAUAAGCACCGGCUAACUUCGUGCCAGCAGCCGCGGUAAUUC